rnacentral:rRNA from 1 species
AUUGAACGCUGGCGGCAGGCUUAACACAUGCAAGUCGAACGAGUGGCGGACUGGUGAUUACUGCUUGGGCAACUCGCUUAUGGAGGGUGAUAACUACCGGAAACUGUAGCUAAUACCUCCUACCAUAUGAUGAGCCCAAGUGUUAUUAGGUAGUUGGUGAGGUAAAGGCUCACCAAGCCGACGAUCUCUAGCUGGUCUGAGAGGAUGACCAGCCACACUGGGACUGAGAACCGGCCCAGACUCCUACGGGAGGCAGCAGUGGGGAAGAUUGCACAAUGGGGGCAACCUGAGGCAGCCAUGCCGCGUGGAUGAAGAAGGCCUUCGGGUGGUAAAGUUCUUUCGGUGGCGAGGCGUUAACUGCAGAAGAAGCACCGGCUAACUCCGUGCCAGCAGCCGCGGUAAUUC